rnacentral:pre_miRNA from 1 species
AGAGGACGGACAGGACACACAUCUUUCGACUUUCAACACAUUUCAACACACCUCAAUGUGUUGAAAGUCGAAAGAUGUGUGUCCUCUCCGUCCUCU